GAUGAAGAACGUAGCGAAAUGCGAUUCGUAAUGUGAAUUGCAGAAUUCAGUGAAUCAUCGAGUCUUUGAACGCACAUUGCGCCCCCUGGUAUUCCGGGGGGCAUGCCUGUCCGAGCGUCAUUGCUGCCCUCAAGCACGGCUUGUGUGUUGGGCCUCCGUCCUCCUCCCGGGGGACGGGCCCGAAAGGCAGCGGCGGCACCGCGUCCGGUCCUCGAGCGUAUGGGGCUUCGUCACCCGCUCUUGUAGGCCCGGCCGGCGCUUGCCGACACAUCAAUCUUUUUUCCAGGUUGACCUCGGAUCAGGUAGGGAUACCCGCUGAACUUAAGCAUAUCAAUAAGCGGAAGGA
rnacentral:misc_RNA from 1 species